AGAGUUUGAUCCUGGCUCAGGAUGAACGCUAGCGACAGGCUUAACACAUGCAAGUCGAGGGGCAGCGGGGGAGAAAGCUUGCUUUCUCCUGCCGGCGACCGGCGCACGGGUGAGUAACACGUAUGCAACCUGGCCGUCACAGGUGGAUAACCGGAAGAAAUUCCGACUAAUACAGCAUGACACUCCUGAGGGACAUCCCUUGGGAGUCAAAGGAGGCGACUCCGGUGGCGGAUGGGCAUGCGGGGCAUUAGGUAGUUGGUAGGGUAACGGCCUACCAAGCCGACGAUGCGUAGGGGUUCUGAGAGGAAGGUCCCCCACAUUGGAACUGAGACACGGUCCAAACUCCUACGGGAGGCAGCAGUGAGGAAUAUUGGUCAAUGGCCGGAAGGCUGAACCAGCCAAGUCGCGUGAGGGAAUAAGGCCCUAUGGGUCGUAAACCUCUUUUGUCAGGGAGCAAAGGCGUCCACGUGUGGACGAAAGGAGAGUACAUGAAGAAAAAGCAUCGGCUAACUUCCGUGCCAGCAGCCCCGGUAAUACGGAGGAUGCGAGCGUUAUCCGGAUUUAUUGGGUUUAAAGGGUGCGUAGGCCGAGUGUCAAGUCAACGGUAAAAUUUCGGGGCUCAACCCCGUCCUGCCGCUGAAACUGACCCCCCUUUGUUGAGUGAAAAUUUAGCUGAAUGCGUGGUGUAGCGGUGAUAUUGUUUCAUCUCAUCGCAAACCCCUAUCUGCGUGGUCACUUGCCGGCCGCUCAACUGCCGUUGAGUUCUCCUAAAGUCGUGUUAUAAAAAUAAAUUUAAUACCCGGCUUACUCCCCAUCUUAAAUGAUACAUGCUGUUUGUCUCGGUCGAAUAUGCUCCCGGUGUCA
rnacentral:rRNA from 1 species